GAAUAUUGGUCAAUGGGCGCAGGCCUGAACCAGCCAAGUAGCGUGAAGGAUGACUGCCCUAUGGGUUGUAAACUUCUUUUAUAAGGGAAUAAAGUCACCCACGUGUGGGUGUUUGUAUGUACCUUAUGAAUAAGCAUCGGCUAACUCCGUGCCAGCAGCCGCGGUAAUACGGAGGAUGCGAGCGUUAUCCGGAUUUAUUGGGUUUAAAGGGAGCGUAGACGGGCCGUUAAGUCAGCUGUGAAAGUUUGAGGCUCAACCUUAAAAUUGCAGUUGAUACUGGCGUCCUUGAGUACGGUUGAGGCAGGCGGAAUUCGUGGUGUAGCGGUGAAAUGCUUAGAUAUCACGAAGAACCCCGAUUGCGAAGGCAGCCUGCUAAACCGCCACUGACGUUGAGGCUCGAAAGUGUGGGUAUCAAACAGGAUUAGAUACCCUGGUAGUCCACACGGUAAACGAUGGAUACUCGCUGUUGGCGAUAGACUGUCAGCGGCUUAGCGAAAGCGUUAAGUAUCCCACCUGGGGAGUACGCCGGCAACGGUGAAACUCAAAGGAAUUGACGGGGGCCCGCACAAGCGGAGGAACAUGUGGUUUAAUUCGAUGAUACGCGAGGAACCUUACCCGGGCUUGAAUUGCAGACGAAUUGCUUGGAAACAGGCAAGCCGCAAGGCGUCUGUGAAGGUGCUGCAUGGUUGUCGUCAGCUCGUGCCGUGAGGUGUCGGCUUAAGUGCCAUAACGAGCGCAACCCUCGUGUCCAGUUACUAGCAGGUUAUGCUGAGGACUCUGGACAGACUGCCAUCGUAAGAUGUGAGGAAGGUGGGGAUGACGUCAAAUCAGCACGGCCCUUACGUCCGGGGCUACACACGUGUUACAAUGGGGGGUACAGCAGGCAGCUACCGGGCGACCGGAUGCCAAUCCCGAAAGCCUCUCUCAGUUCGGACUGGAGUCUGCAACCCGACUCCACGAAGCUGGAUUCGCUAGUAAUCGCGCAUCAGCCACGGCGCGGUGAAUACGUUCCCG
rnacentral:rRNA from 1 species